GAUCACUGAAGCAGCAGGAUGUAAGCUGCCCCACUGAAAAAGACACACCGGGGGCAAGAACUUUAUCUGUUAACUCUACAGCACGAGGUACUAUCCCCUGCCACUGACUCAAGGAUCAAAAGAUGCCCAAACGGCUGAUGUGCUAAUGGGUUCAAAGAAAAACCGGACUAAAGGGAAUAGGCCUGUAGCCUAAUUUCUCCUAAAUCCUUAGCAUUUUGCAGUGAUGAAUGUUGGGGAAUAUUACUGUCAGCUGAGCCUACGCUGGCUGGAGGCACUUUUGAAGAUAAACCCAUCAGAUUUCACUUCAAACACUACAUAGUGCCAGGUGCUUGGCAUGAGCUGUCUGCUUGAUCAUCUCAUUAACCUACAACGGGUGAAAUACACCCCCAGAGGCACAAGAAUACAAAGGACACAGACCUUCAUCUUACACCAAGGACCCUUUGCUGUGAAGUCUGCGCCAUCUAGCCAGAAGACUCCGAGGCAGUAAGGAAAUGGAAUGCCUUCCUGGCAUUGCUUCUUGCAUAGAAACAUGCUGGUACAACUGUAUGGCCCUUGCCUAUUUCUUGUAAUUAUUUAUGUGUGCUAGUAACCACAGAUCACAGGCCUCUAGGAGGUUGCUUAUUCACAGGGUUCUAUAGAAGAGCUCUACAAUACCAAGGGUUCAGCCCUAAAAGCAUAUUUGUCCAAUCCUCUCAAAGAACAGUCAGGGACUACUUCCAACAGAAUCACUGGAAUUUGAAGUUAAAAUAUUGAGCUUUGAUUGUAGAUUAGAUCACUUGGGUAAGGCCUAGAAUUCAAAUGUGUGUGUGCACGCGCGUAUGUGUCUGCAUGUGUGUGUGUGUGUGUGUGUGUGUCCCCAAAAGCAUCUGAUUUGCUGACCCUGAACUUAUAUCCUUGUAUGACAUUCUCUUUAUCCACUUGCUGAGUACUGAGAUGACAGACGUAAAAUACCACCUCUACUUUAGAAUCUUAGAAUCCUUGCUUCUCCAUGACCCUCCCUCUUCUGUUGUUCUGGUAUACACUUUAGCUCUCAACAAGACCACCCAUGCCCAGAAGACUUGGCAGAGGUCCUUCUAUAAGAUCCACAUUUGCACACGGCAGCUGGGGGCCUGUCCACAUACGUGAGAAACAUUUUGUAAGAGGGUGAAAUUAUAUCUAUGCAACAUAAGAAAAUCAAAAGGAUGUUAAGCCACAGGAGCUUUUCAUCAGUC